UACGAAGGGGGCUAGCGUUGUUCGGAAUUACUGGGCGUAAAGGGCGCGUAGGCGGCCUCGUCCGUCCGGCGUGAGAUGCCUGGGCUCAACCUAGGAAUUGCGCUCGAUACAGCGAGGCUAGAGUGUGGGAGAGGUUGGUGGAAUUCCCAGUGUAGAGGUGAAAUUCGUAGAUAUUGGGAAGAACACCGGUGGCGAAGGCGGCUCUCUGGACCGUAACUGACGCUGAGGCGCGAAAGCGUGGGGAGCAAACAGG
rnacentral:rRNA from 1 species